rnacentral:rRNA from 1 species
GGAAUAUUGCACAAUGGGCGCAAGCCUGAUGCAGCCAUGCCGCGUGUNUGAAGAAGGCCUUCGGGUUGUAAAGCACUUUCAGUCGUGAGGAAGGUGGUGUAGUUAAUAGCUGCAUUAUUUGACGUUAGCGACAGAAGAAGCACCGGCUAACUCCGUGCCAGCAGCCGCGGUAAUACGGAGGGUGCGAGCGUUAAUCGGAAUUACUGGGCGUAAAGCGCAUGCAGGUGGUUUGUUAAGUCAGAUGUGAAAGCCCGGGGCUCAACCUCGGAAUUGCAUUUGAAACUGGCAGACUAGAGUACUGUAGAGGGGGGUAGAAUUUCAGGUGUAGCGGUGAAAUGCGUAGAGAUCUGAAGGAAUACCGGUGGCGAAGGCGGCCCCCUGGACAGAUACUGACACUCAGAUGCGAAAGCGUGGGGAGCAAACAGGAUUAGAUACCCUGGUAGUCCACGCCGUAAACGAUGUCUACUUGGAGGUUGUGGCCUUGAGCCGUGGCUUUCGGAGCUAACGCGUUAAGUA